rnacentral:lncRNA from 1 species
UAUAUAUAUGUAUAUAUUCAUAAUUUUUCACCCUUUAAAUCUAUCAUUCUACCAUUUUUACCGAUUAGAUCAUACUCUUCAAUCUUCGGGAACAACUAUUAUCCUAACCAAGCAUUACUAUUAUUCUAAUCACAGAUCCGUUCAUUCAACGGCUGAAAAUUGAUUAGUAUGAAAAGAUCUAUACUCAUAAGAAUAUAACAGAGCCAACUAGAUCCAUGCGAGUAUAACCACCAA